AGCUGAUGAUGACUAUAUUUGCUACUCUUGAACAUAAAUGAUGAAACAGAUUACCACCAAGAUUUAGUCUGAAGCU